CCAGGAUUUAGCUCAGCUGGUAUAGCAUGAGGCUCUUCAUCUCAGGGUUGUGAGUUCAAGCCCCACAUUGGG
rnacentral:tRNA from 1 species